UCCUCAUUGGUGGCUCCAUCCAUGCCACCAUCCCCUUUGGAGUGAUCAUGUUUGCCAUAAGGAAGGUGGACAUUGCACUUAAUACCGAUUUGAUCAAAAUAACCCUCCCCAAUAUGGACAGCGAUUUAGAUUUUCAGCCCUAAAGCCUCUUCAUGAUGCUCUGCCCCAAAGGUUUGCACUCAGACUUGGCCUUUUGCUGGUCAAGGGAACAUCCAAAUAGAUCC
rnacentral:lncRNA from 1 species